UGCCAAUGAUGUUGAAUAUAUUUGCUACUCUUGAUUGCAAAGUGACGAGAAAUACCAACUCUGAGGCA